GUAGUAGUGGUUCAGAGGCAGAAUCCUUGCCUUCUAUGCAGGAGCCCAGGUUAAAUUCCUGGCCAAUGCG
rnacentral:tRNA from 1 species